GAUGAAGAACGUAGCGAAAUGCGAUACGUAAUGUGAAUUGCAGAAUUCAGUGAAUCAUCGAAUCUUUGAACGCAUAUUGCGCUCUCUGGUAUUCCGGAGAGCAUGCUUGUUUGAGUAUCAGUAAACACCUCAACUCCCUUUUCUUUUUUGAAAUUGGAGCUGGACUUGAGUGAUCCCAACGCUUUCUUCCAAGAAAGUGGCGGGUUGCUUGAAAUGCAGGUGCAGCUGAACUUUUCUCUGAGCUAUAAGCGUAUCUAUUUAGUCUGCCUAAAAAACAGAUUAUUACCUUUGCUGCAGCUAACAUAAAGGAGACUAGUUCUUGUGCUGACUGAUGCAGGAUUCACAGAGACAGCUUCGGCUGACUUUGUAAACUCGAUCUCAAAUCAAGUAAGACUACCCGCUGAACUUAAGCAUAUCAAUAAGCGGAGGA
rnacentral:misc_RNA from 1 species